rnacentral:rRNA from 1 species
GACGAACGCUGGCGGCGUGCUUAACACAUGCAAGUCGAACGGAAAGGCCCUGCUUGCAGGGUACUCGAGUGGCGAACGGGUGAGUAACACGUGGGUGAUCUGCCCUGCACUUCGGGAUAAGCUUGGGAAACUGGGUCUAAUACCGGAUAGGAGCCAUUUUUAGUGUGAUGGUUGGAAAGUUUUUUCGGUGUAGGAUGAGCUCGCGGCCUAUCAGCUUGUUGGUGGGGUAAUGGCCUACCAAGGCGGCGACGGGUAGCCGGCCUGAGAGGGUGGACGGCCACAUUGGGACUGAGAUACGGCCCAGACUCCUACGGGAGGCAGCAGUGGGGAAUAUUGCACAAUGGGCGCAAGCCUGAUGCAGCGACGCCGCGUGGGGGAUGACGGCCUUCGGGUUGGAAACUCCUUUCGCUAGGGACGAAGCUUUUUGUGACGGUACCUAGAUAAGAAGCACCGGCUAACUACGUG